GUCAUGUGACAAAUAAACUAAACAUGGCCGCUGUAUACAAAUAUGUGAGAUGACGGAUACAGAAAUCUCUUUUUUAUUGUUUAAAUUCAAAAGUGGUAAUACCAAAAAAUGGACGGAAAUAACUAAACAAACAUAUUUUUAGUCGGAAGCGUGUUUUUAACAGAAUCGCGUUGUGUUCUUUUGGAUAGGAGGCGUAGUAAAGUUGAUCAUUUUGCAAACGGUUACGAAGUACUGUAUUGCCACUCUAUUUUGAUUGUGUCUUUAAACAAAUACUGAAAUAUGGCUGAUGAACAUGAUAUCAUCGGGAGUGCUUCGGAAUUCAUAAAGGAUCGUUUAUACUUUGCUACGCUGCGGAGUAGACCAAGAUCUUCUGCACACACACAUUACUUCUGCGUUGAUGAAGAACUAGUCUAUGAAAAUUUCUAUGCUGACUUUGGACCCCUGAAUUUGUCCAUGUUGUACAGAUAUUGCUGUAAAUUAAAUAAAAAGCUUAAGUCAUUUUCACUAGCAAAGAAGAGAAUAGUCCAUUACACAAGUUUCGAUGCCCGGAAACGUGCAAAUGCUGCCUUUCUUAUCGCCAGUUAUGCAAUUAUCUACCUGAAGAAGACUCCAGAGGAAGCCUACAGACCGCUUGUGGCCGGAUCAAACCCUCCAUUCCUGCCUUUUAGGGAUGCUUCUUUUGGUGCUUGUACCUAUAACCUCACAUUGUUAGACUGUUUGCAUGGCUUAAAUAAGGGGUUAGCAAAUGGCUUUUUUAAUUUUGACUCAUUCGAUGUAGAUGAAUAUGAACAUUACGAGAAAGUAGAGAAUGGGGACUUCAACUGGAUAGUGCCAAACAAAUUCCUAGCAUUCUGUGGACCACACCCCAAAACAAAGAUUGAAAAUGGGUACCCAUUGCACGCACCAGAGGCGUAUUUUCCGUACUUCAGAAAACACAAUGUCACAUCCAUCGUGCGGCUGAACAAGAAAAUCUACGACGCCCGCCGGUUCACAGAUGCUGGCUUUGACCAUUUUGAUCUCUUCUUUAUCGACGGCAGCGUCCCCAGUGACACAAUUGUCAGGCAAUUCCUAGAACUGGCCGAGAAUGCUGAGGGGGGAAUUGCUGUGCAUUGUAAAGCUGGGUUGGGUCGUACAGGGACUUUGAUAGCAUGCUACAUGAUGAAGCACUACAAGUUCACAGCAGCAGAGUGUAUCGCGUGGUGCCGAAUAAGUCGGCCUGGGUCUAUAAUUGGGCCGCAGCAGAACUUCCUUGAGGAGAAACAGGCCUGGAUGUGGAUGCAGGGCGACCUUCAUAGGGCAAAGGUCAAGGAGAGUGAUCGUAAGCGUGAGCGUCACCACAGCGUGUCCAAGCUGCUUUCUGGCGUAGACGACAUGCGGAUACAGGACGCCCUGGAUGCAGAAUACGGCAAUGCCUGGAGCAAUGAGGAUGAUCGGAUCUACACAGGUCCCGUCACGCGGGGAACCAGGAUUGAGACCCAGGGGGACAAAUUGAACCAGCUCAAGUUGUUACGAGGCAAACACACACGAUCGGCCACCACUGGGGCGCUUGGGUCAGACGAUCAUAAAAGCCACAAACGUUCUACCACCCAGCCGCUCCGACACUCCUCAAAAAGUGCCCAUGGGUCCGUUAUGUCCCCCUUGAAAGCCAGUAAAGUUAGUUCAGUGCCCAACAACCACACCAACGUAGGCUCAGUGAAGCGCAGUACGAGGCACCCCGGGACCUCACCUAGCGCCAAGAGAAAGCAUACACACAAUUAUAGUUUGAGGAACACGAAAGGUGUCGCCCCUAGGAUGGACAGACUGAUUACAAAUUUUGUUGGAAACCCUCCUCCACUAUUCUUAUUUGAGCCACAAAGAUCUCACGUACGGCCUGCGGUCAGGCUACUCGUCCAUGGAUUACAAAACGUCGGCCUCUCUCUAUGACUCCCAUGAUUAUUCUACGGGCACAUGGCCGUACAAAUAUCAGUCGUAUGUGACCACAUCUAGCAUAUGAGCGGUCCAAUUUGCUGAAUACUGGGGAACCAGCUCAGGGGUCGGGGCCACAUACCCGCAGUACUAAGGCUUCAUUGAUCCGAUGACCUUCACCCUGACCAACCCUGUGUGUUACAGCCUUAAAUGCUGUGUUGUAUUGAAAACAUUUUACACUGUGAUGUGAUCGUAGGCUUUAUCUAUGCACACACUUCAGGAAAUGAAAAACUUCACUUGCGUUUUCUUUUCUUUUUUAAGUUUUCAUUUUACAAUAAAAUCAUGUUUUAAUUAAUCAAAUUCAUGUUUCUUUUUUUUUGUUUUAAUUCACUUUUCAUAUUAACCCAAUGAUCUUAAUGUAAAAUGAAAUAUAGAAAAACAAUUACGAUGAGAUGUUAUUUAUUGAUUUUAUUGGAAUGUUUUCUUUAAAGAAUUAAUUACAGAUUUCUUCAUAUGGCAAGUUAAAAAUGUUAAAGUAAAUGAAGUCUAUCAACAGAAAUAUUUUAUAUUGCUUCAAAAUCAAGUUCAAUCUUUUACAGUUUGAGACAUUGAUUUUAGAUAUUCAUAUUGUCAGUCUUAUGUUGUUACAUUGUUUUAGAACGUAUGUACAUACAGAAAUAGUUAUUACACCCCUUUUUGAGUCAUAACUGUAUAAUAUUUACAUGUUCCAUGUUUGUAAUGUGUAUAAGAAUAUAUACUUUUGUUUGUUAGUCUUAAUUUUAAAUUAUUUUUAAUAUGUUACUUGGACUGUUUUAUACAUUAUAUUUCGACUGGUUUAUUUAGAAUUGAUGUACAGUUAAGAGACAGACUGUGAUAUGCAUGUCAGUAACUUUUUGUUGCUGGCAUUUAUAAUGUUCGGAAGUGACUGAUGAAUUACAAGCAAUAUAAAACAUGUUCAAAAUCCUAAUAUAUGUUUUUUUCUGCCAAAAACUCACAGCAUAAAGCUCUGUACAAACUAUCACAAAAGUUAACUUCAAAAUUGUUACAAAGAAAACUGGUCUGUUUUGCUAAUAAAGGGUAUAUUAUGAUUAAUGUUAUCUUUUUCAUUCAAAAUUGGAAUUACAACUAAUUAUAACUUGUACAAUUCUUUGAAUGUGCUACAAAAUUGAAAUAUCACUGUGAAGGUCACAUUUGUUGUCAUUUUGUACAUAAAUGAAGACAUCUUUUGGUGUUUUGUACAAAGUAUGUAACAUAUUGUCAAUAUUUUUUUGCAUUUAUAACACAUGGAAUAAAUUUGGCCUACUAAAGUCCCAGUAAAUUCCAACAAUCUGGAAAUGUUGAUCAUCAGGCAUGUGUUCAUUUCCUAUGGAAGAAACCAUGGCCACAGUUCCAGACUGGUUUUACAAAUUUCUUUCUUGUGGAUUGGUUACCAUUAAAAACAUCUAUAAAGAUAUUUCAUUUUUAUAUCCAUGGAGGAUUCUACAAUAUUGAUAAGUGAAACUGAUCAGGCCAAAUAUAUUCAGUGUGUUAAUUCAUGUGCCAACAAAGGUCAUAGCUAACUGAUUGUCCGAGUGUGUGUUCUAUUUCAUGGUUUAUACUAUUUCAAUAAAAAUGAGGGUAAAUAUUUAUAAUGGAGCAGAAAACUGUCUGAAUUUGGUGAUAAAUAUAUCUAUAAAUAUGAGAACAUUAAUAUGUAUUGUAGAAUAAAGUAGUAAUACAUAAAAACAUAAGUAUAACUCCUCUCAUUUUAUUUCAUGUAUAUAUAGGUAAGAUUUGUUUCAGAUCUUAUCACUGUUUAUACUGGCUCAGAACUAUCUUAAUAUUGACAUAUCUGCAACUUGUAUUGAUUUCCUUUGUGUUUGAAGUUUGAAUGGAAACUUGGCCUCUAUCUUUGUAGUUUAAUCCAGCGCUUACAUCAAUAAAUUAAGGAAAUAAUGCUGUUUUAAUUUAAGAAAACAUUUUAUACAUGAAUUUUACUAUUUUUCGAAAUGUACUUUAAACAGUUUUUCCUACUGACUUGAUGUUAAUGAUGAUUUUAUUUUGAUACUCUAUGGCCUAUACCGUUUUUUGCAUGAAACGAAUGUAAUAAGUCAUUUACUAGAAAUUGUGUUUUUAUGGAGUUUGUUGAAACCCUGUAUAACUUUGCACAGACAUGCCCAUUGUAGGAUUUUACGAGUUCACACCGUUUUGUUGCUGUGUUGUAAGUUCAUGUAUAUAAUGACCAUGGCAUGUAGAACAGAGAGGUGAUUAUUAAUAUAGCAAGUAUUUCUAUUUUAUCCACAUUUUCUUAUAUAGUAUAAAUAGUGAAAUAAGCUUCUCAAAAUAAAAAUGAUAUUAG